rnacentral:rRNA from 1 species
UACGAAGGGGGCUAGCGUUGUUCGGAUUUAUUGGACGUAAAGAGCGUGUAGGCGGCUUUACAGGUCCGUUGUGAAAACUCGAGGCUCAACCUCGAGACGCCGGUGGAAACCGUAAGGCUAGAGUCCGGAAGAGGAGAGUGGAAUUCCUGGUGUAGCGGUGAAAUGCGCAGAUAUCAGGAAGAACACCCGUGGCGAAGGCGGCUCUCUGGGACGUGACUGACGCUGAGACGCGAAAGCGUGGGGAGCGAACAGG